ACAUUUUUUACAAUUUCAUUUUUAAUAAAAGAUGUCUUAGUCCAAUUGAAAUACCUAGCCAAAUGGGGAUUCAAAUACACGUGGCACAUUUCUAAUGGUUCACAUACACCCAACAUAGAGAAAUGCUAUUGGUAGCUGACAUGUAAGAUUGGUCAUAUUACAAAUAAAUCUCAGUUUUGCAACGUAUUUUUCGUAUUCUAAUUUUGUUCUCAUGCAUAUAUUCACAACAGGUGCAACUUCUCCAAUAAAUAUUGGAUGCAAUAGUAGGUUUAUUUUAGUGGUGUUUCUUAGCAAUAUGAAGUUUAAAAUGGCACAAAGUAACAUAGGUCUCGGUGUCAUCUCUCAUCUAAUCAUUCAUGUGGUUUGCAUGCUUUUAUUUGAAAUUUUCUAUUGAUUAUUGACACUUUUUUGAUUUAUUUGAAACUCUUCGUUCUUUCUUUUUUGAAAUUUUAUUUUUUGUGAUGUUAUGUUUAGCAGUUAAUUAAAUAAAGAAGGUGGGUUGAAUUUGAAAAUGAUUUAGAACAAUUUGAAAAUAGUUUAGAACAUUUGCUGAAUAAUAACAAUUUGAGAGACAUUCUUGGGAAAAAAAAUGAAAAAAUUAAUAAUAGAAAAUACCUUAUUAACUUUGUUUAAAUACUUGAGAUGAUUCUCUAGUACUAGGUAGCAUAUUUGAUUUGCCUCUCUACUUAACAAUCAUAGAUUCAUGAAGUUCAUAUAGUUCAUAUAGUGAGGUGGAAACUAAUCCAGUUCUAUUUUACCUGUAAGAAAGGGAAGUUAAAUUUUUUUUGAUUAUUUUCUGUUGAAUAUUAAGGUUUCUAUUUUUCCCCAUUUUGAUUUUAUGGAGAAUUGAAUUUUUCAAAAAGAUCAUCAGGCCAUUGAUAUCCUUCUAGUAGAGAUUGAUAUAUAAGAGCUUUUUGCUUUCAAACAGUGCAAGGGAAGGAAGGUUAAGCUUGCUCUUUGUGAAGGAUCAAAGUAAUGGUGUGUUGAGCUUAGCAAAUGUCAAAUGCAAGUUGUUGCAUUGGGAGGGGUCAAACUUGGUGGUUGCAGAAGGCCAAAUUGCAUCAAGGGAUCCCAAGUCAAAGGUGCAUUAUGCAACUCUUGGACCUUUAUGUUGGAAAGUAUGGGUAAACCACGUAACAGUCAACGUGCUGUUGUUUCGUUCUACUCAUGAGAUGUAUGAUCUUCAAGAUGCAAUAGGAAGUACAGUUGCAUGGCCUAGUCAAUUCAUUAUUUUGGACUAAAUAUUAGACUAAUUGAUUUACGAUUUGUAGUUAUACUUUUUGGAUGUUUAAAGUCGUAUUUUAGAGAUUAGUGAAUCUUAUGAUUUGGAUAAUUUUUUUGAUUUGUAUGUUUGAGGUUGUUAUCAGCUUGAUAUGAUAGAAGUUGAGGAU